rnacentral:lncRNA from 1 species
GAUCUGCUGGGGUUGUAAACUUUGCUUCAUUUUUAAAAGACUUGUCCAAUAUGUGCAUUAUUAUUAUUAUUUACAGUGAGGGCAUAAGAUAUGGGGGAAAGUUAGAAGUAGAUGCCAAAAAGUAAUUUGGCGGAGAAUUCUGUGAGUAGUAAGUAUGAUUAAGGGGUGGCGGGAGGUUUUGUGCAAACAGGUCAGGGAGUUCAUGAACCUGGUGAGCUUGCUCUUCAAGAGGUGGAAGCCACGCGGGUGAUCUUCAUGCCUCAGACAGGACCCCAAACCUCUUCAGGAAAUAAUUUUGCUUCUGAUUGUCUUCCUCCAUCAGGUAAGUAGGUUCUGGAAAGUACACUGUAGUUUUUUAUAUACUUCUUACACACAGGGACCUUCAACACUCCC